GGCUGGUCCGAGUGCAGCGGUGCUUACAACUAAUUGAUCACAACCAGUUAUAGAUUCCUUUUUUCCUUCUCCACUCCCACUGCUUCACUUGACUAGCCUUAA
rnacentral:Y_RNA from 1 species